AUUGUUAUUUCCCCAACACAAUUUUUUUUUCCACUGUACAGCAUGGAGACCCAGUUAUACAUACAUGUAUAAAUACUUUUUUCUCCAUUAUCAUGCUCCAUUGUAAGUAUCUAGACAUAGUUCUCAGUGCUACACAGCAGGAUCUCACUGUUAAUCCAUUCCAAAGCAGUAGUUUCAUCCGUUAACCCCAAGCUCCCAAUCCAUCCUACUCCCUCCACCUGCCCCAGGGCAACCACAAGUCUAUUCUGCAAGUCCAUGAUUUUCUUUUCUGUGGAAAGGUUCAUUUGUGCUGUAUAUCAGGUUCCUUUUUGGCAUAUGAUAAAAUGUCUCUAGCCUCAACCUUUCACCACUUGGCCAUACACUACAUAGAGCCUGGCCAUUUUCUAAGGCUAUGCACAGAUUCAUCUGUAGACUAGUGGGAAUAAUUCUAUUUAGAAUUAUAAAUGUCUGGAUUUAAAUCUCAGCUUCUCUAUUGGCCUCACUCUCUUUAUAAUAGCAUUACUAUAAUACUAAGCUAUAUACUGAUAUACAAUUAUAUAUACACCAAUAUACAAUAAUAUUCUGUCUUUGUAAUAUAUUUAUUUGUAAUAGUACAGUUGUCUCUUGCUAUAUGCAGGGGAUUGGUGCUAGGAACAGUGCCCCCUCUUCCCACUCACCCUGGCAAAUACCAAAAUAUGUGGAUGCUACAGUCAGCCCUUCAUUUUGGCAAAGGUGGAACAAAGUGUAAUACAGGGGGCAAACUAUAUUAUCAAUAAUACUUACUUUUUUAAAGGAUUGUUCUCAAAUUUAGAAAACAAUCAAGUAAGAGUCAAGCCCCCUGCUUAGUAGGCAGUGGCAUAAGACUAUCUAAUAGUAGUUUAUCUCCUUAUAGCAAACCAGCACAUUAUUGAACUCUUGGUAAAUGUUCAAAUAAUAACUUAUUCUGAUUGCUAUCCAUUUAUUUUGUAUUACAAAUAUAUAGACAUAUAGCAAUUCCAAAAAAUAAAUUUUAAAAAAAUGACAGCUACUUUUGGUAUAUUUCCUUGCAAUAUUUUUUAUAUUCAACUGUAAUAACAGUUGUAAUGACUAUGGAUAUACAAUUUUAUAAUCAAGCUUUUGUCCUGAUAAGUAAUUUCCAUCUUUCUUCAGAGCCUCUAUAAACCUCAUUUUUAAUGGUUGUAUAAUUCAGUAAAUGCCAAGUGAUGAUUUAUCUGUCAUUACCAGCCAGAGCAGAUCAACCAUGAAGCCCUCUGAUGAACUAUGCUAUGAAUAACGUAUUUUAAAGUUCUCAGUACAAUGAAGGGAGACUUGGAAAAAACUGCUUGAGUACUAAUAUGCUUGAAAAUAUUUGUACCUAAUGCAGACGGUCUCUGUCAUUAACUAGUGCUAGGGUUUGGGCAAGUUCUUUAUUAUCCUUGGUGGGCUUUGGACCGAAUUAUAGAAUAACCCAGAAUUUCUAUUGUUUCAAAGGUGCUCAUCAGUUUUAUAAUUUUACUAUGAUAUAUUUUAUAAUGGUUCCCAAUUCUAACACUCAGCAGUUGGGUGAUUGGACCAGUUCCCUAGCAUACGAAAAUACUAAAUGAACAGUUUUGUUUUUGUCAUGCUAUUCCUCUCUAUGGUUUGCAAUUCUUUUCUUUUUUCUUUUUUUUCUUUCUUUCUUUCUUUUCUUUUUUUUUUUUUUUUUGGCCACACCUGCAGCAUAUGGAAGUCACUGGGCCAGGGACAGAAUCUGAGCCGCUGCUGUGACCUAUGCCAUAGCCAUGGCAAUGCUGGAUCCUUAAUCCACUGCACCAGGCUGGGGAUUUAACCCAUGACCUGAACCACUGCAAAUACAACCCUGGAUCCUUAACCCGCUGUGCCAAAGUGGGAACUCCUGUGGUUACCAAUUCUAAUCUGGACAUUAGUGCUGUUGGUAUCCCCUUCCUGCAUCUCCAGGGAUCUUAGCAUCAUCCUAAACUUCCUCCAGUUCUAUAUAGUCUUCCUCCCUCCUCUUAAAGAAAAGUUGGGAAACUCCUGAAUAUAUGAAGCCUCAAGUCCCUUGCUAAAUCUGAGCCAAAGAUGUCCAUCAUUUAGGGUGCUGGUGUGGUGUUUUAAUCCCUUUUAAUUUGUUCCCAACAUUUAAAAUCAAAGUCCACACUUACAGGCCUCCUGAAAAAUUGGGAGCUCCGAAACAUUGGGCCAGCAUCCAUACUAGGCAGAAAGUGGCUGGAACUCAUUAAAAGCUGACAGCUUUGGAUGAGUCACGCAUUCUUCAAAGUCCAGACCAUCAACUGGAUGAUCACCUAUUAUCAUCAUCUUGGUGAGUCUCACUUAUUUAUUUCCUUACCUGGAUUAUGCAGGCAUCUGGAUUUGUGGGGAAAUCAUCAAAAACUGACAAAUUUUAAAGGUCAGUGCUACAAGUAGUUCAUUUAGAAAAUAAUCAUAUCACUUUGAGCUGAUUGACCUUCGCUUGAAUCCAAUCCAAAUUCUACUGGUUUCAUACUCUGCCAUUUCACUGAUUACAUGCAUAUUGUACCUGCUCAUAGAGCUGACUUCUCUGCUUUGAAGCUUAGGGUCAAGUACAUUUUCAUACUGCAAGUAAAAAUGGGAAAAGAUUGGUUUUCUUUGAGAGGAAGCAUCUCCCAGUAGAGAUGUCUGAAAGGCCUUUGCCACAAGCAAAGGGUAAAAUAGAGCUGUUCUGUGUGUUUCCUUUUCAUAAACACUCACUCACAAAGCAUUUUCCUUUGUAAUAAAAUUUAUGAAAUUAUUCAUCAGAAGCAGAAAUGGCCUCAAUUAGAUAAAAGAAAUGGAGCAAUUAAUUCAUUUGUGACAAACUCACGGGUGGCCAGAAAAAUAAAAUCAUAUCUAAAAUUAGUUGAAGACAGACCCUGAGAUUGGACGCUUUCUCCAUAUUAAAAAAUGAAUGCAAUUGACACCUUUUAACAUUUGUCCUUUAUCUGCCUUGUAAAAAAAAAAAUUAAUUUCCUUAGUCAAAGCGGGAAAACAAAAGACCAGGUUACAACUACACAGAGCUUUCAGGAAAAGGAAAUUGCACUAGUUAUGGAAACAAGAAAUUCAGGGUGCAGCUGUCACUAUCAAAAUACAACAAAAGCCAGAAUAAAAUUGCCACAACAAUGCACAAUUAAAAUUAUUCCUGACUGGUUUUUCUUUUUCCUUUAAAAUUACUACUUGUGUCUGGACACCAUUAAAAUACAAUAUUAUUUGGAGUUUUCUGAGGUCUUUACCAUGAAUAAUCAAAGUCCCAAACCAAAAUCACCUUCAUGGACCACACAUGAACUAGAAACCCAAAUCCCUUCUUUGUAAAAUACAUGAUUGUGAUGCACUGAAACAUUCACAAGGCAUUUUUAUGACAGAACUGUGGUUCUAACCAUAACUUGGACUGAAUAUUAUAGCUGGUGCUAGCAAUUUAGUUUUUAUCAAUGACUUUUCCAAAAGAAAGGUAACAAUAGCUAUAGAGUGAUGAUUACAUGUGUUAACAGAGGGAGGAAUUAGCAAUAAGUAACACUUGGGGAAAUAUGCAUUGUGGAACUUAAUGAUUAUUUAAUUACUAAAAUAUUUUUAAUAAGUGAAAUUAUUCAACUUGUAGAAUUGGAAAGUAGGCUGGUCGAGAGAUCAAGUGUAAGUCUGUGGCCUUGGGCUAACUACAUACACUUACUAUAUUUCCCUAGGUUGACAGUUGGCAGUUCCCACCCUCGGCAGCACGUUAUAUUAAUAGGAGAGCUUCAGAAAUCCCUGGUGGACAGAAUGCACUUAACUAAUCAAAUCACAAUCUGGGAGUGGGACCCAAGCACCAGUAUUUUUUAAAGGCUAUGUGCAGCCAAGGUUGAAAAGCACACCACAGUGAUUAUCAAUUCAGGCCCCUUUCAAGAGUUUGCAAAUAAAUACCCUAUGAAAACAAUUUGUUCUAAAAGGAUGGUUAUCUCUAUCAAUAAAACUGGCCUUAUCUGCCUUAUUGUAACUGCAAUAGGCAUUUUUUGCUGGAUUCUCAUCAAAUGUUUAGUUUAUAUUUGUGAUCAUCUGGUAUAAAAAACAGCUCUUGUGGCCUAAGCAAAGCAAAGUUCACUGAGUAGGGAGCAUAGGAUCCGUGAGACAUCUGGAAGAAUUAUGCCACCUUUUAUUCUGAAGAUUCAUGAAGCUAUCUAUCCAUAAUUGGAUUUACAGUUUAAAUUUUACUAGGAUUACUUUACAUGAGGAGUGGAGAGCUUUAUUUAUACAACCAACAAAAUACACAUACAGACACACACACACACACAUAUAUAUAUACAUACAUACACACAUAUUUAUUCCAAUUUGUUUACCUAUCAUAAAAUGGUAAUUUUUUUUGUUGUGCUUUUAGGGCUGCACUUGCAGAUAUGGAAGUUCCCAGGCUAGAGGUCGAAUUGGAGGUGUAGCUGCCAGCCUAUACCACAGCCACAGUAACAUGGGAUCUGAGCCGCAUGUGAGACCUACACUACAGUUCAUGGCAAUGCUGGAUCCUUAACCCAAUGAGCGAGGCUAGGGAUUGAACCCACGUCCUCAUGGAUACUAUCAGGUUCAUUACCACUAAGCCAUGAAGGGAACUUCCAAACAGUAACAUUUUUAAGCUUAGAAAAAGUCCUAUGAUUUUCCCCUGGAGUGCACAUGUGUGUGUGUGAGCACAUGACAUGGCACGUACACGUGCUCCUGCACACAGGUGUGUGCUGACUGGGAUCUCCAGGUCUCAGGUUGUGAAUAUUCACAGGGUGGGAGGCAGGCCACAGUGCCAUGCCUCUAGCCCACUCCUAUACAUUCCUUUAUUCUUGGAGGGGACAGACUCUCCAGAUUUUUGAGGAUUAUGUGAGAAUCGUUAAAACACAGCCAUAUUUCUAUUUUCCCCUUCUUUUGUAAAGCUGUUAGAGAUCCCUUUAGUUGUAUUUUUAAAAUUGCUUCUACUUUGAGAGUGUUAUCCUAUUUUCAAUCCCAUUAUUUUAUCUUAUUGUCAUUUACUUUAAAGGGGGUCUUGAAGCAGUAGUAAAAAUAAGAGAGAGUGUUACAGAUAACUUCAACUUGGAGAGAAUGGCUAGUUCAUUCUUUCCCAUCCCUCCUCCUCUUGGAAAUUCUUCCAAUUCAAGUUUCUUUCUUCCUGGUUUCUUUACAAUUUUGUUACCAUCUUUUUAAAGAUUUCUAACAAAAUAUCUAACUUUUGUUUUUACAUUUUUGGUCUAAUAAACAUAUGUAAACCUCUAUUUUAUUUUCCCUCUUAGAAUGGCUUUUUCAUUUUCUGUUAAUUUAGAUAUACUGUGUUCAGCUAGUGGAUUAUAACUAGCUGAAACUUCAAUUUUGUUUUCUCCUUUGAUUUAAGGUUGAAGCUUAACAAUAACUUUGAGGUUUAAUUUUUUAUUUGCAAUUUUUAAUUUUGUGGUUUUGUGCUGAGAUAAUAUAGACUGUACACAAUUUUUAGAUUUCUAGAAAAUAGAAGUUACUAAGAUUCUUUGUUGUAUUAUAUACCAUUUAUAAUUAAGAACUUGUUGUUACAAUUGUGUCAAUAUAGGCUACUUAUACCCUUGAGAUUUUAUUUCAAGUUAAAUAAUAAAAAAUAAUAAUAAUACUUUUUAAAGGCAUUUCUAGGACAAGCCAAUGAGCUAAUGGAUAUGGAACUGUAAGAAAUUAUCAAAUGCUAGGGUUGUCCAUUUCAAGAAAGCUGUUAUAUUUUGAUUUUCAUAAAGAUGGAAACCCUUAUAUUGUACUGUAUUUUUAAUUUAUUUAUUCAAUCAUUUAUCUUAGCUAUGUACCAGGUACUGCAUCAGGCAUAGAUGAUAUAAAUAUGAAUAAGAGACUACUCUUCUCCUCAAGAAGCCUUUAAUUUAGUGAAAAAAGAGCCAUGUGGUUAGAAAAUAGACUUGUGGUUAUCAAGGGGGGUAGGGUGGGAGUAGGAUGGAUGGGGAGUUUAGGGUUGAUAGAUGCAAAUUAUUACAUUUAGAAUGGAUAAGCGAUGAGAUUCUGCUGAAUAGCACAGGGAACUAUGUAUAAUUUCUUGCCUUAGACCAUAAUGGAAGAUAAUAUGAGAAAGAGAAUGUACAUAUACAUCUGACUGGGUCACUGUGCUGUACAGCAGAAAUUGACUCAACACUGUAAAUCAACUAUAUCCUAAUAGAAAAUAAAUUUAAUUAAUAAAAAAGAGACAUGCGAGGAGUAUGGAAAGUGUUAUAAAAGAUCAUAUAUGUAGAUGAGCAUAAGCAAUUUAUUAAACAUUCUCUCUGCCUCAGUCUCUUCAUUUCUAGAAAUAGGAUAACGAUUUAUUUCUGGUAUAGUGGUGUGUAAAUCAAGAUGCGGAGCCAAGGGGUGAGAACAGGUACAACUUUCAAACCAAGUCAAUCAGAUAUCAUUCUAAGGUUUUGGAUUCUGAGCAAUAAGAGAGAGAUAGAUAAACUGUAACAAAGCUUAGAGCCCAUUUAUUCCAGUGGCCACGUCAUCCUUGAGAAAACUCUUGAUUGUGAUGUUACCUACGCUAGUCACUCUCCCCUGGCUCUGAUCCUUCUCUGAAUCUGGCUCUCUGAAAUCUCCAUCAUUUCUGGAAACUCCUGCUAACUAUUUCAAUAAAUUCCUUUUCUGCUUCAAUGAUCCAGAAUUAGCUUCUGCUAACAGUAUCCUCAGAAUCCUAACAAUCAUGACAUUUUUUAAAAUGAGGUUUUAUUUCCACAAGGAAAACAACUGUGAAAGAGGAAUCCCAAGAUUAGAAGUGAAAUCCCAGAGGAUAAGUUACUGGGUA
rnacentral:lncRNA from 1 species